rnacentral:rRNA from 1 species
GACGAACGCUGGCGGCGUGCCUAAUACAUGCAAGUUGAGCGAUGAAGAUUGGUGCUUGCACCAAUUUGAAGAGCAGCGAACGGGUGAGUAACGCGUGGGGAAUCUGCCUUUGAGCGGGGGACAACAUUUGGAAACGAAUGCUAAUACCGCAUAACAACUUUAAACAUAAGUUUUAAGUUUGAAAGAUGCAAUUGCAUCACUCAAAGAUGAUCCCGCGUUGUAUUAGCUAGUUGGUGAGGUAAAGGCUCACCAAGGCGAUGAUACAUAGCCGACCUGAGAGGGUGAUCGGGCACAUUGGGACUGAGACACGGCCCAAACUCCUACGGGAGGCAGCAGUAGGGAAUCUUCGGCAAUGGACGAAAGUCUGACCGAGCAACGCCGCGUGAGUGAAGAAGGUUUUCGGAUCGUAAAACUCUGUUGGUAGAGAAGAACGUUGGUGAGAGUGGAAAGCUCAUCAAGUGACGGUAACUACACAGAAAGGGACGGCUAACUACGUG